GUCUACAGCCAUGCCAUUCUGAACAAGUCCAAUCCUGUUUGAUCUCAGAAGCUAAGCAGGGUUGGACCUGGUUAGUUCUUGGAUGGGAGACCACCUAGGAAGACCAGGUGCUAUAGGUA
ensembl:rRNA 5S_rRNA 5S ribosomal RNA